CCUGAGAAACGGCUACCACAUCCAAGGAAGGCAGCAGGCACGCAAAUUACCCACUCCCAGCACGGGGAGGUAGUGACGAUAAAUAACGAUCCGGGACUCUUUAGAGUUUCCGUAAUCGGAAUGAGUACAGUUUAGGUCCUUUAACGAGGAACAAGUGGAGGGCAAGUCUGGUGCCAGCAGCCGCGGUAAUUCCAGCUCCAUUAGUAUAUAUUAAAGUUGUUGCGGUUAAAAAGCUCGUAGUUGAAUCUGUAUCCCAUACUGUCAAUCGUUCGUAAUUUAAUUUGCGUGGUUUGACAUUUUUUGUAUGGGAUAUGCACGCUGGCGGGUUACCGGUACGUGUCGGUAAGCCGUGUACAAUAAAACGGCACACUGCUGCGUUGCCUUUGCGCAAGUGCACGUUGCGCACUUUGCGUGUGAACGGAUGCUUGCGCAUUGUACGGCAACGUGUGUGCCGUGUGCGCACACCGAUCGUCAGUGUCCCGAUGGCGACGGAUUCGAUUAGCUUCGAACUCGUAUCGCAUUCUGAUCGAAACUCGUGCCCGAUCGUCUCGUGUGCCGGCUUCGUUGUGUGCACACGUGACCGUGCACAAAACUCUGUCAGGCCAGCGAUAUUACUUUGAACAAAUUAGAGUGCUUAAAGCAGGCAAAUUUAUAUGCCUUGAAUAUCGCAGCAUGGAAUAAUAGAAUAUGAUCUCGGUACCGUUUUCGUUUGAAAUUGGCUUAAAGGGCUAGAUAAAACCGGAAACGUGUUCGGAUGCUCGGGCACGGUACCGGGCACAUCGACGCCUAGUGUGCACUCCGUCGACGCAUAACGGAACGCGUGUGCAAUUCGUAUCUACGUACGCCUAGUGCUGCGAAUACGAGCGCUCGCGUGCCGGUCCGAAUGCGGAGCACCGGCGUCACUAAAAUGGUGUGCAUCGUUUAGUAUCGUGUGUGCCCGAUGCAACUCGAAUUAUUUAGCUCGACGGUAUAUCGAGAUAAUGAUUAAUAGAGACGGAUGGGGGCAUUCGUACUACGACGCUAGAGGUGAAAUUCUUGGACCGUCGUAAGACGAACUGAAGCGAAAGCGUUUGUCAAAAACGUUUUCAUUGAUCAAGAACGAAAGUUAGAGGUUCGAAGGCGAUCAGAUACCGCCCUAGUUCUAACCAUAAACGAUGCCGACUAGCGAUCCGUCGAUGUUCAUUUAAAUUGACUCGACGGGCAGCUUCCGGGAAACCAAAGUUUUUGGGUUCCGGGGGAAGUAUGGUUGCAAAGCUGAAACUUAAAGGAAUUGACGGAAGGGCACCACCAGGAGUGGAGCUUGCGGCUUAAUUUGACUCAACACGGGAAAUCUCACCAGGCCCGGACACCGAAAGGAUUGACAGAUUAAUAGCUCUUUCUUGAUUCGGUGGGUGGUGGUGCAUGGCCGUUCUUAGUUGGUGGAGCGAUUUGUCUGGUUAAUUCCGAUAACGAACGAGACUC
rnacentral:rRNA from 1 species